rnacentral:tRNA from 1 species
GCGCAGGUGGCGGAGAGGCCAAUCGCACGAGUCUGUAAAACUCGCGCCCCAACGGGCUACGCAGGUUCGAAUCCUGCCCUGCGCA